CAGUAGCCGCGGGAAUACGUAGGUCCCGAGCGUAGUCCGGAUUUAUUGGGCGUAAAGCGAGCGCAGGCGGUUAGAUAAGUCUGAAGUUAAAGGCUGUGGCUUAACCAUAGUACGCUUUGGAAACUGUUUAACUUGAGUGCAGAAGGGGAGAGUGGAAUUCCAUGUGUAGCGGUGAAAUGCGUAGAUAUAUGGAGGAACACCGGUGGCGAAAGCGGCUCUCUGGUCUGUAACUGACGCUGAGGCUCGAAAGCGUGGGGAGCAAACAGGAUUAGAUACCCCAGUAGUCCCUGUCUCUUAUACU
rnacentral:rRNA from 1 species